rnacentral:rRNA from 1 species
UACGUAGGGUGCAAGCGUUGUCCGGAAUUAUUGGGCGUAAAGAGCUCGUAGGCGGUCUGUCGCGUCUGGUAUGAAAAUCCAGGGCUUAACCCUGGACCUGCAUCGGGUACGGGCAGACUAGAGUGCGGUAGGGGAGAUCGGAAUUCCUGGUGUAGCGGUGAAAUGCGCAGAUAUCAGGAGGAACACCGGUGGCGAAGGCGGAUCUCUGGGCCGUAACUGACGCUGAGGAGCGAAAGCAUGGGGAGCGAACAGG